rnacentral:rRNA from 1 species
UACGGGGGGGGCAAGCGUUGUUCGGAAUUACUGGGCGUAAAGGGCUCGUAGGCGGCCAACUAAGUCGGACGUGAAAUCCCCAGGCUCAACCUGGGAACUGCGUCCGAUACUGGAUGGCUUGAAUUCGGGAGAGGGAUGCAGAAUUCCAGGUGUAGCGGUGAAAUGCGUAGAUAUCUGGAGGAACACCGGUGGCGAAGGCGACAUCCUGGACCGGUAUUGACGCUGAGGCGCGAAAGCCAGGGGAGCAAACGGG